AAAUUGAAGAUUUGAAGAUGAUGUUUCCUACUUGAACAAGGUUUCCUAGUCGAAGUAGGAAAGCGCCUAAGUGAAGAUGGAAUCCUAGUUGAAUUAGGAUUCCUAGUCAAAAUGGGUUUCCUAGUUGAAUUAGGAUUCCUUGAAGAUGAAGAUUCCUACUCAACAAGGUUUCCUACUUGAAGUAGGAAAGUUUAAAUCCAAAUGCAUCAAGUUUCAGCAACAAAGAAGUUUUCCAAGUCCAAGAAGGAAAAGGAAUCCAAGAUGAAGAAGGAGAAAGAAUUCCAAGUCAAGGAGGAUUGAGACAUGUUUCCUAAUGCUAGAAGGACUCCUAAGUGUUGUAGGACACAAAUGAGAAGUUUCUAGAGUUUCCAUCCUUUGCCGUGGGUUUCAUUGCAUUCCUAUCAGUUUUGGGGCUUUCUAGACCCCUAUCCUAAUCCCUACAUUGGUGCCGCACCCUAGCUUCUAGAAAUCUGAUUUCCUUGCCUUGCAAGGCUUCUAGAAGCCUUAUCCACCUUAUCCUAUCCCUGCCGCACCUAGGACCCCUUUUCCCUUGCAAAAUCUGAUUGUUUAGACCUAUUUCCUUGUGGAUUUGGGUUAUCCAAGUCCAUAUCUGAUUACCCUAGGGUUUUAAGUGCCUAUAUAUACUCCUAUUAACCCCUAAAUCAGAUCAUCACUCACCACAAUUCACAAUUCACUCCAGAAAUUCGUCCAAACUCUCUCCACACCUUUGCCGCACCAUUCCCUUCCCCUAAACACUACUACAUCCCUCCAUAACCAUGCAUCCAUACACCUAAGGUCCUAAACCUGUCCCUAGACCCUUGCCGCACCAAGGAGGAGGAGAAGGAAGCUCGGAAGUUCAUGCAAUUCAAUUCGCGUCGCUGGAAUUUCUAGGUGUUUCUUUUCCUUUGAUUUCAAUGUUUAAAUUCAAUUCUCUUUGUUUUGUGCGUAUGAGGAACUAAACCCCCUUGGCUAGGGGGGGAUUCGAAAUACAUGUUUAUGCUUGCGUUAUGAUUUAUUACUUCUAAUUGCGUUUCAUAAGUUGUGAAUUCAAUUUACUUAUCUAUGUGAAUUACAUUGAUUUGUGUGUGUUGGUUGAGAGUGCACGCUUAAUUAUCAUGCAUGAAAUUGAAUGCUAGAUAUAAGGAAAUUUCACCUAAUCGUUAUGGAAUUAUAUUCACAAGUAGUAAAGGUUGAUGAUCUCAAUCGCGUUUAAGUAAAUUCUUGGCAUAAGUUUCAUGCAAUCAUAGUAACAAGUGCUUCGUCAAUGCUUAUGGUUUUCAUAGAACUUAAUGAUUCUUGCUUGUAUCUCUAUUAUGCAAUCAUGUAGGGACUUGUGGGGAAUGUUUUGGGUGUCGUAUGCAAUCAUCCAAUUCAAUAACGUUAGGAAAAUCUGAGGGUUAAUUUAAGCGACCUAAUUAACUUGGGGCAUUGAGAAUUCAUGGUUUAUUGAAAAGCAAUUGGAGAAUCGUUUUGUAUGCAAGUAUAACAUGUGUGGAGAUGAACCCCUUAGCUAGCCUUCCAUUCACCCAUUUAAAUCAAAUUCGUUUUUUACAAUCUGUUCUAAUUUACAAAGUUUGUUUUGUUUUUAAAUUCGUCCAAAACCAAUCCCCCUUUGUUUUAAGUGUCAAAUUAGUUAGUAAGUGUUUUACUUGUGUUUUUUAAGUGUUUUGAUUCAAGUUAAAACCAAAUUCGUCCAAUUUGGUGCUUAGUGUCCAAAACUGCCCAGAUUGUGUUUUUAAGGCAGUUUUGAGUGUUUUGGUGCUGUUUUGAGUCUUUUGGUUUGUUUUGGUGUUUUAAAGUUUAGUUUGCAUUCUUUGAGUCUAUUUAGUGUUUUUAAACUUGUUUUUACGUUUUUGAGUCAAUUCCAAGUGAUUUUGCAAUCCCUCCUAAUCCCCGGUCUAGAACGAUCCCUACUUACAUAUAUUGCUACAAUUGAUAAAAGAGGGUUUAUUUGAAGUGCUAAUUCAAUCAGUUGUGUUUUCUAAGUUAGUCUUUUUAAGCUAUUUUCAUGUGUUUUCAGGUUUUAGAGCAAAGUGAAGCAAAAGGAUGCAAUUUGGAGCAUUUUGGAGCAAAAAUUGGCUAGAAUGAAGUUCAUGCACAUGAAGCACAAAGGAUGGACGAAUUUGAGGAUUGAUGAAGCUAGAAUGUUUUCAAAUUGAAGAAUUGAAAUACAAAGUUUCCUAGUUGAAGUAGGAAAGGGCUUAAGUUGAAGGAGUCCUAAUUGAUUGAAGAUGAAUUGUAGGAUCCUAAUGAAGAUUUCCUAGAAAAUGAAGUUCCUACUCAGCAAGGUUUCCUAGGAAGAAGAAGAGUUAAAGCCAAAGAAUCAGCCUCAAGAUAAGGAUCUUAUCCAAAACCUCAUCCAUAACCUUAUCUUAGCUUAUCUUAUCCAUACAAACUUAUCCUAAUCCUAUCUUAUCCUUAUCUUAAACUAUCCACAUUCCAGCCACUUAGGAGGGUUUCUAACUAGAUUAGGAUGCCUUAAAAUCAGAUUCUAGAAGACCUAUCUUAUCCUACAAGAAUGGCGCCUAGGAACCUUUCUAGAAGCCUAAAAAUCUGCCUUGUAUUUCUUUCUAGAACCCUAGCUUUGUGUCCGCACCUAUACCUAUUUCCCUUGGGAUUUUGGUUUCUAGAAGCCUUAUCCUUUCACACUCUUUGUGCCCACAUUAUCUCCCAUCCUUUGGGUUUUUGACUUGUUUCCUUAUAGGGAUUGUAUGUUAUUAUCCUAUGCAGUUUAGGCCUUUAAAACCUUGUCCUUGCUACCUAGGAGUGGGAAUUUUCAGCCUAUAAAUACAAGCCCUUGCCGCACCCUUUCAUUCACCAUCCUCUACCAUAUUUUCACUACAUUUCACCCAAAACCCCUCAUUGUGCCGUGAGUUUUGCAAGGAGAGAAGGAAGAAACUCUGGAGCCGUGCAUGCCAUUCAAGGAGCUUGGAUUGUUGGAGCGUUCUAGGUGUUUUUCUAUCUUUAUGUCAAUGUUUAAAUUUAUUUAUCUUUGUUUAUUUGCGAACAUGAGGAACUAAUUUCUUUAUAGUUAGAGGGGAAUUCAAAGCCAUGAUCAUAUGUUUUAUAUGACUUGAUUACCUCCAGUUAUGAUUUCAUGAAUCGUGAAUGUGGUUUACUUAUCUAUUUGAUUGAUAACAUGUUUAUGUAUGUUAUUAAGGAUGCAUACUUAGUUCGCAUGCAUGAUUUGAUGCUAGAGUAUAAGGGAAUUUCACCUAAUCGUUUUAACUUAUAUUCAUAAGUAGUAAAAGUCGCUAGUCACGAUUGUGUUAAGUAAAUCUGGCAAGAGUAACAUGCGUAUUCCCAUAGUUAAUGAAUGCCUCGUCAAUGCUUAUGAUUUCCAUUGAACUUAAUGAUCUUUGAUAUGUGUCUCUAUCAUGCGUAUUCCAUAGUUAGGGUCCUUUGAUAAGAAUAAUUUGGUUGUAAUGCGUAUUCCAUUCAAUUCAAUGAAUCUAGGGAAAUCUUAGAAUUAAUUGGUGCAAUCUAGUUAAUUUGGGACAUGUCAUUCAUGGUUGUUGAAAGAGUAAUUGGAAAUCGAGUCGUAUGCAUAUGUUUCAUGUGUGGAGAAGAACCCUAAUAGCCUUUCCCCAUUCUAUUUCAUCAAAAUCGUUUUCAUUAAAGUUUGUUUUUAAAGUUUAUGUUUUAAAGUCCAAUUUCGUCAAAAACCAAUCCCCUUACUUUUAAAUCUUGUUUUUAGAGUCAAAACGUGUUUUCUUUAAGUCUUUUGAGUCUUUGAAGUUCUAUUUUCGUCCAAAUCACUUGCUAUGUCUAGAAUUGUGUCUUUUUUAUUGUUUCUUGUUGUUUUUAGUGUUUUAAGUUAGUUUUGAGUCUAUUGAAUCUAGUUUAGUGUGUUUGAGUCUUAUUUGUGUCGAUUAGCACCCCUAGUUAAUUCCCGGUCUAGAACGAUCCCUACUUGCAUCAUUACUACAAUUGUCAUCAAUAGGGUUUAAUUUGUGUGUCAACAUAAUUUUCACAUCAGGUACCCUUUGUAUCAUCAUCUUCAGGAACAAUCUCAAACACAUCUAGUGGGUCACCACGGUCGACAUGAUCUAUUUCUGUUUCCUUAUCUCGAAUUUGAAGCUUAUGUUGUAUAGCAAUAAACUAAUUUCUCCAACCUACUAUGAGCCAACCUUAUUUCUUUGCUUGUGUGUAUAGUGCAAAUGUGCUCCAAUUUCUUUCACAAGCAGAUGAGGAAGCUAUUUGUGAUAAUACUUUGAUUGCUAACUUUCUCAUAAUUGGUGCAUCGGUCCUAUACAUGAUCCACCAUUCAGCUACAAUGAAAAACAAUGUUAUAAACUUAUCGUGAAAUAUGUUUACACUCACUAGGAGACAUUUUUGUAUCGAGCAGCAACUGAUGUUGGUUCUCCAAAAGUUCUUCUUGCAUCUUUAAACCAUGGCUGAAUUCAAUAAAUCGUUAGUUUAAUCCAACAAAGUAAUUAUUAAUAAUUUUAAUAAUUGUGUACUCAUUUCCAUUGGCCAACUGCUGGUAUGCAGGGUUUAAUUUAGAGUAUACAUUAUGUACAACACGUAUAAGGGUACCAUCGUAUCCAACUGGGUCUUAUUGGUAUCGAGGAUUCAAAUAAUAUCUGUCAAAGAAACCAUACUCUAAUAGAGAAAUAAUACUUAUGCAACUAAAGAAAUGAAUUGCAAAUUAUGACAUAAUUUAUACCUGCUGCAUGCAAAUCGUGGUUAUAUGUUUUAUACAUCUGUCUUCAAUUAUCUUAUGACCCACCUUGCAUCAUUUUCUUUCCAUUCAUCCUUCACUACACGCAUCAUUCAAUACCCCUAUUUAGAUACACUUCUGUGUCAACGAUCCGUAAAACUUUGUAAAGAGUUCAAACACUUGUCACACAUGUUCUGAUUGAGUCCAAAAGGCACGAUCAAGCACUAUACUUUUCCACCAAUACGACCGCAUUUCAGCGGCUCAAAUUGUGGUUGGCCCAAUCGUCACUAGUGAAUAGUUGCUUCAACCUUGCUUUCUUCUUAAAUAGGCUGUCUAAUGGUGGUAGCUGGACGAAUAAUUUCUCCUUUGCAAAAUUCACGCAUCUUUGCCAACAACCAACUGUGAUUGUAAAUAUUUGUGAUCUGCUCUUUUUACCACAGUAGCAACAUUCUCUCUCUUCCCAAUUGCUCAAACAUGAGAUCAAUACAAUGUGCCUGCACAUGAUGUCCAAAACACAUUAUGAUGCUUCAUUAACUUUUUUUCCAACUUUGACAAAUGCAGACCGUUGUCGUCACGACUUGGACAACAUUAUGCUCUCCAACCUCCAUAUUACAUCCCUCAUAAUUUUGUAAAUAUACUUGUAGUUCUUUAUAUAGUCUGAAGCAUUAACAGACUUAAAAAAAAUUGUCUUUCCCUUGAGUAUACAUGAAGUUAUGAUAGACAAUCUAGUCCAGGCCAGUCUCAUCCGUCAACAUGAUUGUGGCAACCAUUAGUUUCCCACUUGACCUCAACUUGUUAACAUACCGACAAUGUCUUUAUACUCCAUAUCCAAUAUUUUUUUUCUUAUCUCAUAGGGAGCGGAGGUGUACUCCAACACGGCCUAUUGACAUCCCCACUACAUAUUUUUGAAAUGAUGUGAUGCCUUUCUCAGCAGGGACAUUUUCAUAGAUAAAGAACUUGCUAAUUAGACGCCUCAUUCCCUCCUCACAUUACCUCCAGUAAAUAACUCCAAACACUCUUUUGACGUGCUUUGGAUGACUUAUAUAAACUUGGGGCUAUUGGUGGUGUUGGUUGUGAUUCUCUAAGACUGCCUCCCGUCUCAUUUUGCACCACCACUUGUCCUGGAACCUUGUGCUCUAUUAGGAUUUUGAAGGUGUUCUCUUUCCCAUGCUGACUAUUUGGAGGCACGUAAUGCUUGUUUCAAACUGCGUCGUUCUUCAGGUCCCAUGUCAUCAUCACUGUCAACCGCUUGGCCAAUGACUUCUCCUCGUAGCCCAGCUCGAAUAUUUUCCAUUCCAUGUGUUAUCUUUCCUUCUGCUGUUUUUUAUUUUUAAUAAUGUGCUGAUGAAUGCCUUCACUUAUGGGGGGACAUUAUCGCAUUGUUAGACAUUUUUUGCUGGAUCUAAUCCACUAAGAUGGUACUUAAGUCGUGUCACUCUGCCACUCUUCAUUACCCAACCACAAUAUUUGCAAAUCGUGCCAUGUUUGUUUCCGUCUAUUGGGUCUCCAUGUUCCCAAGCUGGAUCACAUUUAAUAACUCCACUGGACAGCUUAAAACUACUAUAUUUAUUUUCAUGAAAAUUAGACAAUUAUUUUUUGGCCAAAAAAUAUAGUAGUGAUGACGGUUAUAUAAGAGAACAUAAAUAAUAAAGUUAUUCUACAGAAGAAUUAAAUACGUAGUAAAGAAAAUGAUUGUAAAAAUUUAAGUAAUUAUAAAAAUAAUAUGAAAUAAUAAAACCUAAUAUUAAUGAAUAAUAAUCCAAUUUGAUAAAAAAAAAAUCCUAAUAUAAAACAUAGUGAUGAAUAAUAAUCCAAUUUGAUAAAAAAAUAAUCCUAAUAUAAAACAUAGUGAUGAAUAAUAAUCCAAUUUGAUAAUAAUCCAAUUUAAUAAUCCCAUUUAAUAAUAAUCCAAUGUAAUGAAUAAUCCAAUUUGAUAAUAAUCCAAUUUAAUGAAUAAUAAUCCAAUUUGAUAAUAAAAAAAACCUAAUUCAAAAUUUGAUGCGAAAAUUAACUUAACACACAAAUUAACCCUCUUGUUGACAAUUGUAGUAUGGAUAAGUAGGGAUCGUUCUUAAACCGGGGAUUAGGAGGGAUUGCUAAAACACUCUAAACUGACUCAAAAACAUAAAAACAAAGUUAAAAACAUUUGAAUAGACUCAAAGAACUCAAAACAAACUCAAAAGACUCAAAACAAGCUAAAAACGCUCAAAUCUGCCUAAAAACACAAACUGGGCAGAUUUGGACUCUAAACACACUUUUGGACGAAUUUUGGUUUUAUGUUGAUUCAAAACACUUUAAAAACACAAACUGAACAAAUUCUGAGUAAUUAGACACUCUAAAGUAAAGGGGGAUUUGUUUUUGGACAAAAAUAAAGUAAAACAAAGCAAGAAUUAAAACUAAACAGAUUUGCACGAAAUUGGUUGAAUUAGAUGGAUGAUGGGCUAGUUAGAGGGUUCUUCUCCACACAUGACACACUUGCAUUGAAAUUGAUUUCCAAUUGCUUCUCUCAAUAAGUCAUGAAACUCAAUACUCCAGGUUAACUGUGAUAGCACUUUUUUAACCUUCAAGUUCUCCUUAAGUUAAUGAAUUGGAUGGGAAAGCACAUACAACAAUUCAAAGCAUUCUCUAAAAGUCCCCUACGUGAAAACCACAAUAAAGGUACAAUCAAAGAUCAUUAAGCUUCAUGAAAACCAUAAGUAUUGACGAGGCAUUCGUAACUAUGAUGAGCAUGAUACUCUUGCCAAGAAUUCACUUAACGCGAUCGUUUAUAAGCGACCUCCACUACUUGCAAAUAUAAGUUUGUAACUAUUAGGUGAAACUCCCUUAUAUUUUAGCUUCAAAUCCUUGCAUGAAAACUAAGUGUGCACUCUUAAUAAACAUACAAGAAUAAGUUAUCAAUCAAACGGUUAAGCAAAUUGAAUUCACAACUUAUGAAAUAACAAUUGAAGGUAAUCAAUUCAUAAUACAAGUAUAAUCAUGGUUUUGAAUAGCCCCCUAGCCAAGAAGGGCUUAGUUCCUCAUAAACGCAAAACAAAGAUACAUAAAUUUUAGACGUUGAAAACGAAGAAUGAAAACACCUAAAAACGCUCCAGCAAUCCAACUUGAAUGGCAAGCACGUCCAAGGGUCUCAUUCCUUCUUCUUUGCUACGGCACAAGGGAUGGGUGAAGGUUUUUGUGCUGAUUUGUGGUGGUGGAUGGAUAUAGGUUGGUUAUGGUGAAGGGUGGAGUGCUUAGAAUGGUCAGAAAGGGGUUUUAUUUAUAUGGGAAGGAAGGGCUAUGAAUUUAUUAAAUUUGGAAGCAUAAAUCAAUCGAAAAUAGGCAAGUAAGGUGCAGGAAUUAAAGAGAAUAGGAAAGGAAAUUCGGAAGAGAGUGUAGGACAGAUUUAGGAAUGUGUUUUGCGGCACAAAAUAGGUAAGAAUCCUCUCCCCGUGUACAGCAAGAAUUGAAACAAAAGGGAAUGCAAUUUUGGGUCAAAAAAUAGGUAAGAAAGGAGAGAAAGGUACGGCAAUGCCUAGAACUAAAGGGGAAUGUGAAUUAAAAUCAGAAAAUAGGAAAUGAGAGGAUCCCUUGUGCGGGAAGGAAAGGAGAAUGCCUAGGGUGGUGCGGCUGAUAGGAGCAUAUUUAUGCGCCUUAGUUAGCUAGUUCUUAUGCAUCUUUGUUAUGUUUUCUUCGUUAAAGUAGUCUUUUAAGCUACUUUCAUGUGUUUUCAGGUUUAAAGGACAUAUUACAUGAAAUGAUGCAAUUUGGAGCUUUUGGAGCAAAAAGUGAGCUUGGAAUGAAAAGGACAUGCUUGGAACACAAGGUUGGGUUGAAAUUGAAGAGUUCGAGAUUUGAGGUUUCCUACUUGAAGUAGGAAAGCUAAGCCUAAAAGUUUCCAUUUUGGGUUGAUCUUUCCUAAAUCGGAAUUGGCAACCAAAGUUUCUAAAGUUGGAAGUUUCUAUUCUUGGAGGUUUCCAAUUUCGAGAGUUUCUAUUCUCGGCUUUGGGCUUUUGGAUGACCCAUCUUUGCCUCUUGGACCUAUGCCGCACCUAACCCUAACCCUAGCCCACUUAAUCAGCCGCACCUAGCCUUGUUCACAUGAAAAAAAUCUGAUACUUACCCUAAGCCAUGCCGCACCUAAUGUUCUAGAAACCCUAGUUUUUGGUGGAUUUCCUAACCCUAGCCGCACCUAAACCCUAGCCCAUUUGUCUAAUCUGAUUUCUUUAGGGUUUGGGCUGCCUAUAUAUAUAUGUUUUACCUCCCUUGGCCGAAUGAGAACCCUCUCCAUAAUCCAGAAAUUAAUCCUUCACGCCAGAAACCAUUCCCCAUCUUCAACAACACCUAUCCUUCAUCAUUCACCAUAUUUUCUGACCCAAAACCACCCUAGCCGUCCCAUACACCUAUCCUACACACUUUUCCACCAUUCUACACCAUCCAUAACCCCCAAAAACCAUCACAAACCCCUGUGCCGCAACCAAGGGAGAGGAGGAAGGUUCUUAGAUGUUCCUGCUGUGCAAUUUAGAUUGCUGGAAUUUUUAGGUGUGAUCUUUCUUAUGUUUCAAUGUUUCAAUUCAAUAAACUUUGUGUUGUGAGUAUGAGGAACUAAACCCCCUUAGUUGGGGGGUAAUUCGAAACCAUGUACAUGCUUGCAAUAUGAUUUGAUUACAUUCAGUUGUUAUUUCAUAAGUUAUGGAUUCAAUUCGUUCAUCUAUUUGAUUGAUAACUUAUUUGUGUAUGUUGAUUGAGAGUGCACGCUUAGUUUUCAUGCAUGAAUAUGAUGCUAGAUUAUGAGGGAGUUUCACCUAAUAGUUACAACCUUAUAAUCACAAGUAGUGAAGAUCGCUUGAAAACGAUCGCGUUGAAUGAAUUCUUAGCAUAAGUUUCAUGCAAUUCAUAGUAACGAAUGCUUCGUCAAUGCUUAUGUUUUUCAUAGAACGUAAUGAUUCUUGCUUGUAUCUCUAUUAUGCAAUUCAUGUAGGGAACUCGUAGGGAAUGUUUUAGGUUGUCGUAUGCAAUCAUCCAACUUAAUAACUUGUGGAAAAACUGAGAGUUAAUUAGUGCAAUUCACGAUUAAUUUGGGGCGUUGAGUAUUCAUAAUUUAUUGGAAGAACAACUGAAAAUCGUUUUGUUGCAAGUGUGUCAUGUGUGGAGAAGAACCUCCUAACUAGCCUUCUACCCAUCUCUUUCACUAAAAUCGUUUUUACAAUCUGCCCUAUUAAUUUUCGUCAAAACAAAAUUCCCCUUUAAUUUGAAGUCUUAGAUUAGUUAGAAAGUGUUUUGAUUUGUGUUUCUAAGUAUUUUGAUUCAAGUUUUUCAUCAAAUUUCGUCCAAAUUAGUGUAGGUGCUCAAAACUGCCCAGAAAGUGGUUUUUAGGCAGUUUUGAGCCUUCUAGUUGCUGUUUUGAGUUUUAGGUUUGUUUAAGUGUUUUAACCUUUACUUUUGCAUUCUUUGAGUCUAGUUUAGUGUUUUAAACUUUGUUUUUGAGUUUUUAAGUCAGUUUCAAGUGUUUAGCAAUCCCUCCUAAUCCCCGUUUAGAACGAUCCCUAUUACAUCUUUGCUACAAUUUGACAAAAAGAGGGUUUAAUUUGUGUGCUUAUCUAUUUCGCAUCAGCGGCAUGGACUUUUGGGCAUGUCUAAGGCUUCUAGAACAUGUAAUUAAGUACCUAAGUGUUUUGGAAACUCCUUUGUAGUGGAACUUAGGGACUUUUAGGAUUAGGAAAGGUCAAACCAAAAUAGGAAACCUUGGCUUAACUUUCCUACUUCAAGUAGGAAUCCUUGUUUGAGUAGGAAUCCUUCUUCAAUUAGGAAUCCUUCUUCAAUUAGGAAUCCUUCUUUAAUUAGGAAUCCUAACAUCUUCAAGUCUUCAAUUUCGUCCAUUCCUUUUCCUCCAAGCAUAUGCUAUCCAUUCCAUGCCAAAAAAUGCUCCAAAAUGCUCCAAAAUGCACUUCUUUGCCACAUUACCCUUUGGAGUACAAACAACGACGAAAAUAGCUUAAAAUACUAAAAUAACUACGUACUAACAACAUAAAUGCCAAGAAACAAGCUAACCAAGUCGCAUAAAUAUGCUCCUAUCACUAAUAUUAAUGAAUAAUAAUCCAAUUUCAUAAUAAAACCUAAUAUUAAUAAAAUAAUAAAUAACAUUAAACAUAUUAAAAUUAUCCUAGGGAAUAAUUAUACAACACUACUUAAUUACUUAUAAAAAUUAACAUGUAAUUGUUAACAUUACUUAAUUUCUUACAAAAAUUAACAUGCAAGUAUUAAUUACUUAAAAAAAUUAACAUACGAGUCCACACAAAUUUUUUUGUUGUUGUAUAAAUUACAAUAAUAUAAAUAUAAGUUUGUAAACUUACUUUAAAUAUGGAACCCUUUGUGUUCAAGCUCUGGAAUGGAUCUGGAAUGGCUUUGAAAAGGGUAAGGGAAGAAGAAGAAACGAAAAUGCUCUUAUACUCCACCUCUGAGAAUGUGAAAGAAUAUCACAGACAAUGGCACACGGUUUUGAAUGUGAAAGAAUAUCAUAGACUCACAGUGGCACACGAUUUCAUUAUGAAAAGCACUAUUAUUUUUGUCCAUGGUCUAAAAUUGUAAAAAGUGAUUGUAAAAGUUGUCAAGUGAGUGUGAGUCAGAUGUCCCAACCACAUACACACACCGACACGCCACCACACACGCACACAACACAACACAACACAAUACACGCACACAGUCUCUCUCUCUCGAUCCUUCUCUCUUCUCUGAUCUCCCUUCUCCCUCUUCUCCAUUCUCCCACACACACACAAAGAUCUCCCAUACACAUGCACAGAGACCCAAAGUCUCUCGAUCCUUCUCCCACACACAUGCACAGAGACCCAAGGUCUCUCGAUCAUUCUCCCACAUCGCCUUCUGCUCCUCCCCCGUCGGUGCCGUCUCUCUCAUUUCUCUCUGCACCGAGGGUCCGAAACCCACAUACACACACGCACACCAUCGCACCUGCUUCAGGAAGACACCCAUCAUCAUCAGCAACCUCGUCUUUCUCCCUCUCCUUCUCGCAUCAGCAACUUGGCGAACACAGGAACUUCAGUGAGUUUCUUGAAUUUCUCCGGUUAGGUAAGCUUCGGGUUUGCCUCUUUCUGUUCUAGAUUGAAGAUUAUAUGUGAAAUUUAAGUUCAAAAUCGUGUUUUUGCAAGGUUUUUGGGACGAAAUCGGCUCGGGAAUAGGCACACCCAUCUCCGGCGAGGCCGUGGGUGUCGACGAACUUUCCGAACACCUCCGAAAGUUUCACAGCAAACGGAAUUUAUAAAAACAUUCAUCUCCUCUUUUAUUUCAUUUUGAUACCUAGAUCGGAGUCUAGGGUGCUCUUUUACAGUCGGCCAAAGCAGUAGAAGCUCCGGCUUUCUUCUCAGAUUAGCACAGUUCCAAAAUAUCGCGAUAGUUUCGGAAUCGAUAAUAUCACGAUAUUUUGACGAAAACCCGUUGGAUACCUAUUAAAAUAUCGUUAACGUGAAAAACCGAUAAUAUCGGCGAAAUAUCGCCGAUAUUAUCGACAUUUAAGACCUUGCUUUCAACACAAUGAUGAGGAUUUGGUUUUUAAUUACAUGACUGUUAAAGAGAGUUAUAAACAUGGAUGAAAAUUUGAUUUACUCUUUGGUGUAUGCUUGGUUGUGGUUUAAAUUUAUAAUCAUAAAGAAAAAUCAGUUUUGUAACACGCUUGAAGGAAGGAACUCAAAUUAACGCUACAACCUUGUGAGACUUGAGCCUCAAACGUUUAUUUGGAGAGUUAAUAAUCUGUGCAUUCUUGUUUUCUAAAGUCGUUGCAUGAUCUAAUUAUUCUUUGCUUGGUUAGUACUUAGAAGGCGUUUCAUCAUUUAGUUCCAAAUGCUAGAACUCAUGCCUAUUUAAUUCAAAGCAUGCUAUUGAUUUUUAUAACACAUAUUCAAGAUGAAGUUGUGUAGUGACCACCACCAAAGCCAAACUGCCGUGUAUCCUACUUCAUUAUAUGUUUAAGUUUAACCCCGUUGAGCCUUGUGUAGCCUAUGUUCUUUGUUAACCCACACUGUCCUCACCUAGCCUAGACUAGAACCAUCCAUACCUUUGUUCUUGAAGCAUAGUAAAGCAUGACUCAAAAUGAAUUCCUUUUUAUUAAUGUAUUGCAGAAAACAAGUGUGGGGGAAGUGAUUCUUGUUGUGUGUGUGUGCCAAAGUCCUUAAUAAGGCAUGGAUAGGAAAGAAAAAGAAAAGAAAAAUUCGUGGAAAAUAGAAUGAAAAGAAGAAAAGUUGUGAAAAAGAGCUUUAAAGUGUCGUUUGUUGAAGAAAGGGUCCAAAAACAUUGAAUUCGGCCCUAAGUGUUGCAUGAAUCUUCCCUUUGUAUUUAAAAGUUGAUUCUGCAUUCUAAAGUGAAUUCCAAGUGACGAUUUCAUUGCUUUGCUUGCUAUCGCUCUAAGAACGUUUGUUACCCCUUAUCCUUCCUUUGUUAGCCAUUACUCCCAAGCCUCGUUGCGACCCUUGACUUCUAUCUUGAGUGUUAUGUGUUUCAAUUUGUGGAGUUUGAAUUUAGUAUGAGCAUAUGGUGUCACUGGUUCUCGCAUCUAAGUAGUAGCAUUCCAUUCAUGAGAUCAUAUUUAAACAUGCUAUUAGCUCCAGAAACUGCUUUCUUUGUUAUAACAUAUUUGAGUACUAGUCUUUCAUGUUUACAUCAAUCUUCUCACAUAUAACUAGUGUAGGGUGUGUAGUCAGAAAAUGUGUGUGAAAAUAGAGAGUAUCUAGUAAGGAAUUGAGGGAAUUCUCUAAGGCAUGUUACUACCUUCAAAAUGGUGUUUUAAUUGAUUAAAUGUGAACUAGUGAAUGGUGAUUAUUAUUAAGUAUGCUCGAGGGUAAGGAUUGCUUAAAUCUAUGUAAGUGAUGAUCUUGGCAUGUCAUGCUUCAUUAAAAAUCCCUGAGGCAAAUGUUGGAAGGUUUAGGUUGUUCUGUUGUUUCGUUUAUGUUAUUUUGCUCGAGGACUAGCAAAAGCUAAGUGUGGGGAAAUUUGAUAGGAGCAUAUUUAUGCAGCUUAGUUAGCUUGUUCUUGUGCAUUUAUGUUGUUAUAUCUUAGUCAAUUAUGUAUUUUUAAGCUAUUUUCAUGUGUUUGUAGGUCCUAAUAACAAAGUUGGCAAGAAAGUGCAUUUUGGUGCAUGUUGGAGCAUUUUUUAGCCAAGAUUGGAUAGUGCAAACAUGGAGACAUGGGGAUGGACGUUUUUGAAGAUUAGAAGGCUGGAAAUCAGCAUGUGUGUGCAAAUGUGUUGAUUUUGGGCUGAAAUGGUGAAGAGCAUGUGUGUGCACAUGCAAAGACAACAUGCAUACACACACAUGGACAACACGACACAUAGGCAAAGAGAAAGACACACCAUGGACAACUUGGCAUGGGCAGAAAAUGGGUGGAUUAGUGGCUGAAAUGAUGAAGAACAUGGGUGAGCAAAUGUAAAGGGAAACACACACACAUGGGCAAAGAGAAAGGCACACCAUGGACAGCUUGGCAAGGGCAGAAAAUAAGUGAAUUAGUGGCUGAUAUGAUGAAGAUGUGUGUGCAAAUGCAAAGGUAAACAUGGACAGCACACACACAUGCAAACCCAUGGCAAAGUGAGGGUCUUUUUGUGCAAAGGUGACAGCACAAACACAAUGUUGCGAAAUUUAAACUAACCAAAUUUAGUCCAACUUAGUUCCAAAUUUUAUGCUCACAAGCGUAAGAAUCGUUUAAUAGUAUAGAAAGCAAGCACUUAAUAUCGUCCCUUAGAAAAUGAUUUAAUUCUUAUCAACUAACUAAAAUCCAAUUGCAACGAAGUGAAACUAGCAAAGAUUGAUGAAAGAUGGUUUUGAGAAUUGAAACUAAUAGUAAAAACAAAUAAAAACAAGAAAGUUUGAUCACAAUGCAAAAAAAAUGACAGCCAAGAAAACUAGUUGUAAUUCAAUCCAGUAAAACACUAGAGCGUCCGACUCACCAUAACCAAUCCUACUUAUUUCCUGCAACGAAUUAUUAACAAAUACUCAAUCUCAUUGAUAGUCAAAUUUCCCUAACACAUGUAAUAUCUAUGGCAUCUAGACUAUUACGUAUAUCCCAAUUUGCAACCAUCCAUGGCAUCUGGAAUAAUUUAACAUCAUGAAACUCAUUACGAUCAGUGGAAAUUUAUAUACAGACUACACAGAUCCUAGAGUAUGGCAUCUACUACUAGGUAAUUCAUGGUAUCUAUUUGCAAGAAGCUAUCACUCAAGUUGAAAACAUGGCAUCUGCACAACUUGCAUCAAAUUUACCAAGUAAAAGUCAAGAUGAUAGCUAAUCACCAAGAUUAAAACCAAGCAUAUCAACACAGCAAACGAUACUCAAUGAAAUUGAAAACUUGAAAUAAUUCACUUCAGAAAUUAAGCAUUCAUAGUCAUGGCUACAUCGUAGCCCUAACUAAGGAAAAUUAGUUCCGAAACAUAACUGGAAAUAUCAUUGAAUUCAUAAUAAAAUUAAAAGAAAAAUUAAGUUUAGAAAAGCCUGAAAUCCCCGUGCUUUGCCACUGCUUACUUCUCUUUGUCUCUGCCGCUGCCUUUUUUUUUUUUUUUUCAUCCUGUCUCCUUCUUCCCCUUUUUCAAUCAUGACCAGGCUACUUCAUUUCACUCUCCAAUUAGCCGUUUCUUUUUCGUAACCGUCGAGACCUUAACCCCCAUUUAUUGAUAAAAAAUAGCAGAUAAAAAGCGGAAAAGAAUUGAAUUCUUCACCAGCCACUUCGUACACUCAAGCACCCAUGUUGCCUCUUUUCACUCUCCGCUUGAUUAGUAACUGAUAUUUCAUCUUCCAAUUCCACUUCCAACAAAUCUUGAAGUAACCAAACUGCCCACUGCAAGUGAACGGAACAGGCAGCCAAAAUAUGAAAACUGAAUAUGCUCAUACUAUUCGUGCACCGAUAACCCACAAACAAGAGAUUGAAACAGAAAUUCGGUGUGUCGGUUGUGAGUCAAGGAAAAUGAGAUGGAACAAUACAAAUUCUUCUUUCUUUUGUCAGUUUUAAAAAUGCAAGAAAAACCAGCCUGGUAGUCACGUGCACAAAUUUAUUGCACUAAUAGCUUGACAAGUCAACCUCCUUUGAUUGCAAAAGGAUAGAAAUGCUGCUCCUUGUUGGACAAAAGGGCAAACCUGGAUAAAGUUAAAGUGAAAACAAAUUUAGCUUUUUAAUACUAGAGCUUAACAAGAUGACAAAUAAUUCCCAAGAUUAAAAUGGAGCCUAACAAGUCUUUUGUGUGAGCCAAUUAUACAACGGUUAUUUUUUAAAACAAAAUAUGAAACAAAGCAAGUUAGUUAUAUUGCAAUUCAGUCAUCUCUUUUCCCUAGCCAUCAUGGUACAGAGACAAGUAAAUUCUUUCAUUUAAAUCCAACACAUCAUAGGAAAAAUGUAAUUUUUCAGGCAAAAUAAGUAGUAUAAUUUGUGCUCAUCAAAUACCCCCAAACUUACAUUUUGCUACUCCCUGAGCAAAAUAAUGAAAAACAUGAAAAGUAAUAGCAUGGAAAAUGUUAGUUUCCCCCUAUGAUCUCAAAGAAUCUCAAUCAAAAGUUCAUAAUAAUCAAGAAUUUUCGUAAUCACAAAGCAAGUGAAUCAACCAUAUUCCAAAUGUUAGCGGAAACCUUUCAAUCAUCCUUGAGGUGUAGUGUGUGUAAUAGCCAUGCCAAUGCAAUUCCAAGCUUUUUAAAAUCAUCAUAUGCAAACUUGUAACAUCCUCACUGGGCAUACACUCAUUCACACAUAUUUCUGGGUAAUGUGUUUCACUCAAGUGAUCUCAAUCAAACAUGCCGCCAUAUGCUUGCUUGUCAACCUACCUCGCUAUUAAUAUCAUGUAAUUACUUGAAUCUAUAGGACUUUAGUUGGGUUGUAAUGGGGAUAAGGGUGAUAGGCUAAUGAAAGAAAGAGUAUGGAAACCAAAAAUUUUGAGAAAGUACACAAUAGUAGUUUUCCAACACCAAUAUCACACCCACUCAAAAUUUAUAUUUUGCAUCUAAACACUAGGCCUCUAAAACAUACAACUGCAUUCUCAAGUGAUGUGAUAAAAGUUAAGCACACAGAUUUAAACCCUCUUUUUAUCAAUUGUAGUAAGGAAUGUAAGUAGGGAUCGUUCUAGGCCGGGGAUUAGGAGGGAUUGCUAAAUCACUUAAAAACUGACUCAAAAACGUAAAAACAAAGUUUAAAACACUAAACUAGACUCAAAGAAUGCAAAACUAAACUAUAAAACACCAAAACAAACCAAAAGACUCAAAACAACACCUAAACACUCAAAACUGCCUUAAAAACACAAUCUGGGCAGUUUUGAAUACUUAACACAAAUUUGGGGGGAUUAGGUUUUGGACGAAAAUAAAGUAAAACAAACAAAUUAAAGACUAAAACAGAUUUUGGACGAAAAUUGGGAAAUUGGAUGGGUGAUGGUCUAGCUAGAAGGUCCUUCUCCACACAUGACACACUUGCAUACAAAUCAAUCUCCAAUUGCUUUUCAAUAAACCAUGAACCUCAACACCCCAAGUUAAUUAGGUAUGCUUAAAUUAACCCUCAGAUUUUCCUUAAAUCAUUGAAUUGAAUGGAAAUAGUGCAUCGCAAUCAAAUUAUUCCUUAAAAGUUCCCUACAUGAAAGCACAUAAUAGAGACACAAUCAAAGAUCAUUAAGUGCUAUGAAAAUCAUAAGUGUUGACAAGGCAUUCGUAACUAUGAAAGCGCAUGAUACUUAUGCCAGGAAUUUACUUAACAUGAUUGUGACUAACAACCUUUACUACUUAUGAAUAUAAGUUCAUAACGAUUAGGUGAAACUCCCUUACAUUCUAGCAUCAAAUUCAUGCAUGCAAACUAAGUUGGCCACCUUAAUAACCAUACAAGAAUAAGUUUUGAAUAAAACAGUUAAGUGAAUUGCAUUCACAAUUUAUCAAAUCGCAAUUGAAAGUAAUCAAUUCAUAUUGUAAGUAUAAUCAUGGUUUCAAAUUCCCCUCUAACUAUAAAGAAAUUAGUUCCUCAUGUUCGCAAUUAGACAAAGAUAACUUGAAUUAAACAUUGAAAACAAAGAUAGAAUACACCUAGAAACACUCCAGAUGGCUCCUUCUUCUCCUUCCUUAGCUGCGGCACAAGAGGAUUAUGGUGGAUGGAUGUAGGUGAUUUUUGGUAGAGGGUGGUGACUAAAUGGUGCAGCAAAGGAUGGUAUUUAUAGGCUGAAAUUCGCAGCCCCUAUGUAGCAAAGGAAAAGGAUUUAAAGGCCUAAUUUGUAUAGGAUAAUAACACACAAUCCUUGAAGGAAAAGGCUAAGGCUUUUAGAAACCAAAGGGGAAAGGAAUAAUCAGGUUUCUAGAAGUUCUAGAAAGGUUUGGGGCGUCACUUUUGUAGGACAAGGGAUAAGGCCUUCUAGAAAGGUUGUUUUGUGGCUGAUUUCUAGAAAAAACAAGGGAUAAGGUGUGGCACCUUUGUAGGAAGGGAUAAGGCUUCUAGAAAUCAGGUUUUAAGUCUCCAAAUAGGAAAAGAAAUCCCUUUUGUAGGUGAAAUCUUUAUGAAUUAGGAUUAGGAAAGCUUGUCUUGGUCAAUCCUUCUUCUUCUAGGAUUCCUUUUCCUUUUUUGACUUGGAUUAGUUCUUUGUUGCUGGAACUUAAGGCCACUUAGGUUUAACUUUCCUACUUCAAGUAGGAAACCUUGUUUGAGUAGGAAUCUUCAUUCUUCUAGGAAUCCAUCUUCAACUAGGAAUCCUCACAUCUUCAAGUCUUUAUUUCUUCAACUUUGAAACACAUUCCUAGCCUCUUCAAUCCUUCAAAUUCGUCCAUUCUUUGUGCUCCACAUGCAUGAACUCCAUUCUAGCUCAAUUUUGCUCCAAAUUGCAUCUCUUUGCACACCUUGUCCUUAAAACAUGAAAACACAUGAAAAUGGCUUAAAAGACUAACUUAACUAAAAAACACAACAUAAAUGCACAAGAACUAGCUAACUAAGGCGCAUAAAUAUGCUCCUAUCAUCAAGCUUUACUUUUGAUAACAUUGACACUUAAGAAUAGAAGUAAGCUUGUGCAUAGCACAUUUUCAAACAUCUCAGCACUCUUUAUUUUAUUUUAUUUUAUUUUAUUUAAAUUGAAAUUCAUACUACCACAACUAAUGACAGUAUCCUGCAUAUUUAUAACCCUUUCCCUUCUUUUUUAAAUCAUGCCCAAAUCUGCAAAGCUACAUCACCCCUCAAAUUCACAUUUCAUGUAAUACACAUGCACCAUCCACUUUUUCUAUAUAAACAAAACCCCAAGAGCACAACCUAUGUAAUACUUUCUCAAAACAAUAAGGGAUCGAUUUUUGUGUAUGGGCUCAACUCCAAUAUCGGAGCAUGAUAGGAGCAUAUUUAUGCGCCUUAGUUUAGCUUGUUCUUGUACAUUUAUAGUGUUUUUGCUUAGUAAAGUAGUCUUUUAAGCUAGUUUUAUGUGUUUUCAGGUUCUAAGGGCAAAAUAUGAAAAAGGAUGCAUUUUGGAGCCUUUUGGAGCAAUUUAGAGCUUGGAAUGGACAUCAUAUGCUUGGAGCCAAGAGGAUGGACGAAAUUGAAGAUUUGAAGAUGAUGUUUCCUACUUGAAGAAGGUUUCCUAGUCGAAGUAGGAAAGCGCCUAAGUUGAAUUAGGAUUCCUAGUUGAAUUAGGAUUCCUAGUUGAAAUAGGUUUCCUAGUGAAAUUGGGAUUCCUAGAAGAUGAAGAUUCCUACUCAAACAAGGUUUCCUACUUGAAGUAGGAAAGUUAAAUCCAAAUGGCAUCAAGUUUCAAGAAACAAAGAAGUUUUCCAAGUCGAAGAAGGAAAAGGAAUCCAAGAUGAAGAAGGAGAAGAAUUCCAAGUCAAGGGAGGAUUGAGACAUGUUUUCCUAAUGCUAGAAGGACUCCUAAGUGUUGUAGAACACAAAUGAGAAGUUUCUAGAGUGUUCCCCUCCUUGCCGUGAGUUUCUACAUUUCCUAUCAGUUUUGGGGCUUUCUAGAAGCCCUAUCCCUAAUCCCUACAUUGGUGCCGCACCCUAGCUUCUAGAUGCCCUAGUUCCUUGCCUUGCAAGGCAUUCUAAAAGGCCUAUCCAUAUCCUACAAACCUGCCGCACCUAGGACCCCUUUUCCCUUGCAAAAUCUGAUUGUUUAGACCUAUUUCCUUGUGGAUUUGGGUUAUCCAAGUCCAUAUCUGAUUACCCUAGGGUUUUAAGUGCCUAUAUAUACUCCUAUUAACCCCUAAAUCAGAUCACCACUCACCACAAUUCACAAUUCACGCCAGAAAUCAUUCCUUGCUCUUGCCGCACCCUUCCACCACCAUAUGCCAUAAUUUCUGCCCAAAAACAACCCUAGCCGCACCACCCAUCAACCCUAAACACCAUCACACAUCCUCCAUCCAUUCUACACCAUCCAUAACCCCAAAGAACCUGUCCAAAGUCCUUGCCGCACCAAGGAGGGGGAGAAGGAAGCUCGGAAGAUUCAUGCAAUUCAAGUUCGCAUCGCUGGAAUUUCUAGGUGUUUCUUUUCCUUUGAUUUCAAUGUUUAAAUUCAAUUCUCUUUGUGUUGUGCGUAUGAGGAACUAAACCCCCCCUUGGCUAGGGGGGGGAUUCGAAAUACAUGUUUAUGCUUGCGAUAUGAUUUGAGUACUUCUAAUUGUGUUUCAUAAGUUGUGAAUUCAAUUUACUUAUCUAUGUCAAUUACAUUGAUUUGUGUGUGUUGGUUGAGAGUGCACGCUUAAUUAUCAUGCAUAAAUUGAAUGCUAGGAUAUAAGGAAAUUUCACCUAAUCGUUAUGGACUUAUAUUCGCAAGUAGUAAAGGUUGAUGAUCUCAAUCGCGUUAAGUAAAUUAUUGGCAUAAGUUUCAUGCAAUCAUAGUAACAAGUGCUUCGUCAAUGCUUAUGGUUUUCAUAGAACUUAAUGAUUCUUGCUUGUAUCUCUAUUAUGCAAUCAUGUAGGGGAUUUGUGGGGAAUGUUUGGGUUGUCGUAUGCAAUCAUCCAAUUCAAUAAUGUUAGGAAAAUCUGAGGGUUAAUUUAAGCGGACCUAAUUAACUUGGGGCAUUGAGAAUUCAUGAUUUAUUGAAAAGCAAUUGGAAAUCGUUUUGUAUGCAAGUAUAACAUGUGUGGAGAUGAACCCCUUAGCUAGCCU
rnacentral:lncRNA from 1 species